AUCAGUUCUAGAUUCGAAAAACGGAAACAUCAGUCCGAUAUUCGAAAAGAGCCAUAGUAGUGUGCUUCCAUUUAUAUCUAGAAGUGAAGUAGUGUGCUUCAGUACAAAUUCUCCUCUCUUCUGGAGCCGGCUACUCUAAUCCCUCACACCCGAGCCAAAAUCCACCUCAAAACCCAAAAAUCACUACAUAAAAGAGCAACAGAGAAAGAGAGUUGUGAGCAGCAAGAACAGUGUUGACGACCAUAGCUUUCAAAACAGAGCUGACCCAGAAGCUGGUUUUUUCAGAUGAGCACAAAGCCACCAUCUUUGCUUUUCUCUUUGUUUAAUUGAUCAGUUGAAAAUUGUGUCUGUUCUAAUAGGGUUCUAGCUUCAGGCCACAAAUAGAAGAGCUCCAGUUAGUUAAUUGAAAAUGAUUGGAAGAAGCCACCGUGACUGAGACUGAUCUGACGAAUCUCGGUGAUUGGAUUUUGAUUUGAGGAAGCUGGAAACUUAUCUGCGAAUUCGGAUUUGAGUUUCUACAUGUGGAUGUAAGGGCUAUUCUUUGAAAAUCAAGUUGUUUGACAUUAUUAGGGAGAGGUUUGGACUGGAAACAAUGGUUGAAACUCAAUUUGAACAACAAUGGGCGGAUGGUAAGGUGGAAGAAUGGAAAAUGCAAUUCACGAUGGUGAACAUGUUCAGGAUUAGCAGACUGUACUGCAAAUAUUACUGAGUUUUGAGUUGGGAUUAUUGGAAUUUGAUAAUCGAAAGCCUCUGUAUGCACCGCGCUGAAAAAUGGCACAACUAGGUUUUUGUUAAGUGUAAUUCCAAACUUCACAAGGUGAAGACAUAGGAACAAUGAAGUUCAGUUUGCUGGUGAGCUUAAACUCAAGGGUUAUAGCUACCGGUUGAAGGUGUUGGAAAGAGUAGCCUGCUUUUACGAUUCUCUGAUGGCUCCUUCACAACCAGCUUCAUACCACUAUUGGGUUUGUAUUCUUAGAAACUUUGGAUAUUUUGUAUUCAGAAACUCUUUAUCAGAUAAAUAUUGAUUUAUCACAUUAAGUCAAUUGGAUGAUGAUCUAGGCUUAUAGAAUAUAGAAAUAUGGCAUUAUAAAGUGAAGUGUUUUUUUAUUUUAAUGUACUGGAGUCAUUACAUGAAUAUAUCUUAUAAUGCAAGCAGGCUUUUAAUGUAUUAAUGAAAAGUGUAAGGGCUGCAAUGAGUGUAUAUUAUAAUGCAAGUAGUCAAAAUUCAAGAAGCUAGGUAUUUAAUAAUCCUCUAAAGUUUCAGCAUGCAUUUUGAUAAUUAGAUGUAGGUGUCAAUUUCUAAUUAUGUUUGCUGUUUUGACCCUUUUUGAAUUGAACCUCUAUGAGAACGUCAAAUUUGAUUGUCACAGAAGAUUUUGGAGUUCCAUUGGUUCUGCAGCACUUGCAAAUGGCUCAUCUGCAAGGUUGAAUUUUGAUACCUGUUAUACAAAGAAAGUUAAUUUCAGUGGAGUAUUGAGGCCAAUAUGAAGCAAUGGAAUAUAACUCGAGAUCCAUGUAGUGGAGCUGCCAGUGACUCCACCGCAUUCGACAAUGGCGAUUACAACCCCUUCAUCAAAUAAUGUGAUUGUUCUGUCAUUUAGCCUCUUACUGUCAAUGUUUUUACUUCAAUGCCACGCUGAAGAACCAUACUUUACCUUCAAUAUCAAACCCAUGCAAUGAUCAUGAUUUGCAUUUGCAGGAAAGUUUAUGCCUGGGAUGUUGUAGGUGUACUUCCAGAACUAUGAAAAUUAAGCUACCUAUUCAAUCUCUGUGCUGAUCUAAAUUAUUGUGCUCUAGUUUUACUCACAUUAGUUAGCCAAAUUUAGUACCAAAUUUGUAAUUUUCGACUAUUUUGAAAUUUGUAAGUACACAAGUCUAGUUAGAACACCAGUUUUUGCAAUCUGUAAAAUAAAAACGGCUUCAGUUACAUUACAUAAC